GUGCCAGCCGCCGCGGUAAUACGUAGGGGGCAAGCGUUGUCCGGAAUCAUUGGGCGUAAAGCGCGUGUAGGCGGUUUCGUAAGUCUGCUGUGAAAGUCGGAGGCUCAACCUUCGAAAGCCGGUGGAUACUGUGAGACUUGAGUACGGAAGAGGAGAGUGGAAUUCCUGGUGUAGCGGUGAAAUGCGCAGAUAUCAGGAGGAACACCAACGGCGAAGGCAGCUCUCUGGGACGUUACUGACGCUGAGACGCGAAAGCGUGGGGAGCAAACAGGAUUAGAAACCCGUGUAGUCC
rnacentral:rRNA from 1 species